GACAGAGCACUUUGGUUCGGAAAGCUCACGAGAAAGGAAGACAUUUUUAACAGCAGCUGAAUGGCGUGUUAAAUAUAGGACUUUUUACACUUAGAGUCCAUUAGAGAAACCCGCUGCUACAAGAACAAGAUGAACAGAAACCCCUGAGCCGCAAAUCUCCCACUGGAAAGCAUGGGUAAGAACCUCCGGCCACUCAGAGAAGCCAUUUCUGUUUCCUCAUGAACCAGCAGAAUGAAUGACCAUUAUUAAAGGAGACCUGACCAUGCCUCAGGCAUGGCCACCAUCCAAGCAGCAUACCGGGAGCAGGGAGGUAUUAAUUCAUCUUCUUAAUCCUGAGGUUCAUGAAGCCUCAGUCCCCUAUAACCAUAUGCGAGAACUCCAUGAAAGAGGGAUGACAACAUUACUAAGAAGAAAUUUAUCUUCCACAUCAAUGGAACAGCUUGAGUUAAUCAUUUCAUCCCAUCCCAGCCAUCAAUGGGGUCUUCUGCACCACCAGUUUUCUAGAGAUAUAGUCUAUGCACUUCCAUGAUUUUGUAUUGGUGUACUGCAAAAAAAUCAAAUUAAAA